rnacentral:rRNA from 1 species
UACGAAGGGGGCUAGCGUUGCUCGGAAUCACUGGGCGUAAAGCGCACGUAGGCGGCUUUCUAAGUCAGGGGUGAAAUCCUGGAGCUCAACUCCAGAACUGCCUUUGAUACUGGAAGCUUGAGUCCGGGAGAGGUGAGUGGAACUGCGAGUGUAGAGGUGAAAUUCGUAGAUAUUCGCAAGAACACCAGUGGCGAAGGCGGCUCACUGGCCCGGUACUGACGCUGAGGUGCGAAAGCUAGGGGAGCGAACGGG